rnacentral:ncRNA from 1 species
UUAAUAUAUAUGUGUUAACCGUAUAAUCUUCCUGAUAUGGUGGAGGAGUUUCUACACUGGAUCCGUAAAGUCCAGUACUACAAGAAGAGUCAU